rnacentral:rRNA from 1 species
AUUGAACGCUGGCGGCAUGCCUUACACAUGCAAGUCGAACGGCAGCACGGGUGCUUGCACCUGGUGGCGAGUGGCGAACGGGUGAGUAAAGUAUCGGAACGUGCCUGGUAGUGGGGGAUAACUAGUCGAAAGACUAGCUAAUACCGCAUACGAUCUAAGGAUGAAAGCAGGGGACCUUCGGGCCUUGUGCUAUCAGAGCGGCCGAUAUCUGAUUAGCUAGUUGGUGGGGUAAAAGCCCACCAAGGCGACGAUCAGUAGCUGGUCUGAGAGGACGACCAGCCACACUGGAACUGCGACACGGUCCAGACUCCUACGGGAGGCAGCAGUGGGGAAUUUUGGACAAUGGGGGCAACCCUGAUCCAGCAAUGCCGCGUGAGUGAAGAAGGCCCUCGGGUUGUAAAGCUCUUUUGUCAGGGAAGAAAAGGCUGUGGCUAAUAUCCACAGCUGCUGACGGUACCUGAAGAAUAAGCACCGGCUAACUACGUGCCAGCCGCCGCGGUAA